rnacentral:rRNA from 1 species
AUUGAACGCUGGCGGCAUGCCUUACACAUGCAAGUCGAACGGCAUCGCGGGAAAGCUUGCUUUCCUGGCGGCGAGUGGCGCACGUGUGUGUAACACAUCGGAACGUACCGGCUAGCUGGGGAUACCCCGUCGAAAGACGGCCUAAUACCGCAUACGCACUUCGGAGGAAAGCAGGGGACCUUUAGGCCUUGUGCCUGUCGAGCGGCCGUUGUCCGAUUAGCUAGUUGGUGGGGUAAAGGCCUACCAAGGCGACGAUCGGUAGCGGGUCUGAGAGGACGAUCCGCCACACUGGGACUGAGACACGGCCCAGACUCCUACGGGAGGCAGCAGUGGGGAAUCUUGGACAAUGGGGGCAAGCCUGAUCCAGCAAUGCCGCGUGGGUGAAGAAGGCCUUCGGGUUGUAAAGCCCUUUCGGCAGGGAAGAAAUCGGCGGGGCGAAUAACCCUGCUGGAUGACGGUACCUGCAGAAGAAGCACCGGCUAACUACGUG